AUUGAACGCUGGCGGCAGGCCUAACACAUGCAAGUCGAGCGAGCGGCGGACGGGUGAGUAAUGUAUGGGGACUGCCCGAUAGAGGGGGAUAACUACUGGAAACGGUGGCUAAUACCGCAUACUAUCGGAUAACCCAUAUGGGAUUAGCUAGUAGGUGGGGUAAAGGCUCACCUAGGCGACGAUCCCUAGCUGGUCUGAGAGGAUGAUCGGCAAAACGGGGACUGAGACACGGCCCAGACUCCUACGGAGGCAGCAGUGGGGAAUAUUGCACAAGGGGCGAAAGCCGGAGACAGCCAGGCCGCGUGUAUGAAGAAGGCCUUAGGGUUGUAAAGUACGUUCAGAGGGGAGGCGUUACCCGAAGAAGAAGCACCGGCUAACUCCGUGCCAGCAGCCGCGGUAAUAC
rnacentral:rRNA from 1 species